GAGAGAGACAUGCGCGCAUAUCAAUAAGCGGAGGAAAAGAAACUAACAAGGAUUCCCCUAGUAACGGCGAGUGGAGCGGGAAGAGCUCAAAUUUGAAAUCUUAAAGGGUUUCCCUUUACGAAUUGUAGUUUAAAGAAGUGUUUUCUGUUGAGGUUUUGGUAAAAGUUCUUUGGAAUAGGACAUCAUAGAGGGUGAGAAUCCCGUAUUUGACCUUUACUUUCAACUUUGUGAUACACUUUCAAAGAGUCGGAUUGUUUGGGAAUGCAGUCCAAAAUGGGUGAUAAAUUUCAUCUAAAGCUAAAUAUUGGCGAGAGACCGAUAGCGAACAAGUACCGUGAGGGAAAGAUGAAAAGAACUUUGAAAAGAGAGUUAAACAGUACGUGAAAUUGUCAAAAGGGAAGCGUUUGACACCAGUGUUGUUUUUCUGAAAAUCAAUUAAAGAACUGUUUAUGCUAAGUUGUUUAGACUUUAUCAGCUAACUGUUUAGUUUUGAGCUUUUCUUUAAUGCACUUUUCAGUUAACAAGUCAACAUCAAUUUCUUUUGCUGUAAAAAAGCUUGAGGAAGGUGGACUUGAGAUUCGUCUUAAGUGUUUAUAGCCUCUUGCCUAUGCAGUCGGAGAGAUUGAGGUCUGCAGCGUAGAUCCUUCGGGGCUAAAUGCAUUUGUGCUAAGUUAUAGCAUUUUAUAGACAACUUGUUGACUAUGAUUUGUCUUGUAGCUUACUCGCUUAUGUUAUUUUACCUACGCUUAGGAUGUUGAGCGCAUGUCUCUCUCU
rnacentral:rRNA from 1 species